AGUGAACGCUGGCGGUAGGCCUAACACAUGCAAGUCGAACGGCAGCACAGUAAGAGCUUGCUCUUACGGGUGGCGAGUGGCGGACGGGUGAGGUAUACAUCGGAAUCUACUUUUUCGUGGGGGAUAACGUAGGGAAACUUACGCUAAUACCGCAUACGACCUACGGGUGAAAGCAGGGGAUCUUCGGACCUUGCGCGAAUGAAUGAGCCGAUGUCGGAUUAGCUAGUUGGCGGGGUAAAGGCCCACCAAGGCGACGAUCCGUAGCUGGUCUGAGAGGAUGAUCAGCCACACUGGAACUGAGACACGGUCCAGACUCCUACGGGAGGCAGCAGUGGGGAAUAUUGGACAAUGGGCGCAAGCCUGAUCCAGCCAUGCCGCGUGGGUGAAGAAGGCCUUCGGGUUGUAAAGCCCUUUUGUUGGGAAAGAAGAGCAGCAGGUUAAUACCCCGCUGUUCUGACGGUACCCAAAGAAUAAGCACCGGCUAACUUCGUG
rnacentral:rRNA from 1 species